UUUGUUUGAGGUCUUUAAUAUUAUAGGGUUUCAAAUUGCAUUUUGAUAUUAGGUGUAGACACUCCAAUCUAUAUGAGGUUCUGCUUGAGUUAAUUUUGUUAAUAAAAAAAAUAAAAAAUAGGUAGUUGAGUUUGUGAGAAAUUAUUGGAAAUGGUUUGUAAAAUUUGAGUUGGGUUUAAUGUUGAAAUUUAAAAAAAUUGAGAUUCCUUUCUGGAUUAGAGUUCUCAGAUUUAGAACCCUA
rnacentral:lncRNA from 1 species